GCCAGGAUGGUCUCAAUCCCCCGAUCUCGUGAUCCGCCCACCUUGACCUCCCAAAGUGCUGGGAUUACAGGCCACAAAUACAUGGAAAUUAAACAUGCUCCUGAAUGGCUACUGGUCAUGAAAAAGGAAAUUUUAAAAUUUCCUGAAACAAAUGAAAAUGGAAACACACCAUACCCAAACCUGUGAUACAGCAAAAGCAAUAUAAAGAGGAACAUUUAUAGCAAUAAACACCUACAUCAAAAGUACAGAAAGACUUCAAAUAAAUAACCUAACUAGAAAAGCAAGAGCAAACCAAAGGCAAAAUUACUAGAAAAAUUUAUGAUCAGAGCUGAAAUUUAAAAAUUGAGACUAAAGAAAACUACAAAACAUCAAUGAAAGAAAGUUUUUUUUUUUAAAAAAAUAGGUAAACAAGGUUGCUGUUUGAACUCUUGUGAAGGUGGCUUGCACUGCCGUGAGGUUCCCGGCCAAGCAGGACAGGUUUAUUUGUAUCUAUCCUGCUUUUUUAAAUAAUAAGAAGACCAUCGCAGAGGGAAGGCGAAUCCCCAUAAGUAAGGCUGUUGAAAAUCCUACAGCUACAGAGAUUCAAGAUGUAUGUUCAGAAGUUGGACUUAACGUAUUUCUUGAGAAAAAUUAAAUGUACUCUAGAGAAUGGAAUCGUGAUGUCCAAUACAGAGGCAGCUCAAACAGGUCCAGCUCAAACAGGACCAGCUCAAACGGCUCCAGCUCAAACAGGAAGAUGGCGGCCUCUGCCUUGUACAGUUCCCAUCAUGUAAGUCAGUAAUGUUGUAUGCAGCAGAAAUAAUACCUAAACUAAAACGAAGGACACAAAAAACAGGAGGAGG
rnacentral:lncRNA from 10 species